rnacentral:rRNA from 1 species
AAGUCGUAACAAGGUUUCCGUAGGUGAACCUGCGGAAGGAUCAUUACAAAUUGUGGGACUGGCAGCGGUGUUGAAAGACGCUGUCUGCCGGUCUGUCUACACAUUACCCUGCUUUGGCGUACUUAUUGUUUCCUCGGUGGGCUUGCCUGCCGACAGGACCUUUUCCAACCCUUUUGUAUUUGUAAUUUGUGUCAAAAAAAUGUAAUCGUUACAACUUUCAACAACGGAUCUCUUGGUUCUGGCAUCGAUGAAGAACGCGGCGAAAUGCGAUAAGUAGUGUGAAUUGCAGAAUUCAGUGAAUCAUCGAAUCUUUGAACGCACAUUGCGCCCCUUGGUAUUCCAUGGGGCAUGCCUGUUCGAGCGUCAUUUGUACCUUCAAGCCUAGCUUGGUGAUGGGUGUUUGUCGAAACCGACUCGCCUCAAACAAAUUGGUAGCCAACUUUUGUAGUAGGAGCGCAGCACAUUGCAUUCUUUUUACCGGCAAAAGACGGCCCCCCCAACAAACCUCUCUCUCUUUUGACCUCGGAUCAGGUAGGGAUACCCGCUGAACUUA